rnacentral:rRNA from 1 species
GAGUUUGAUCGUGGCUCAGAUUGAACGCUGGCGGCAUGCCUUACACAUGCAAGUCGAACGGCAGCAUGAUCUAGCUUGCUAGAUUGAUGGCGAGUGGCGAACGGGUGAGUAAUACAUCGGAACGUGCCCUGUAGUGGGGGAUAACUAGUCGAAAGAUUAGCUAAUACCGCAUACGACCUGAGGGUGAAAGUGGGGGACCGCAAGGCCUCAUGCUAUAGGAGCGGCCGAUGUCUGAUUAGCUAGUUGGUGGGGUAAAGGCCCACCAAGGCGACGAUCAGUAGCUGGUCUGAGAGGACGAUCAGCCACACUGGGACUGAGACACGGCCCAGACUCCUACGGGAGGCAGCAGUGGGGAAUUUGGACAAUGGGCGAAAGCCUGAUCCAGCAAUGCCGCGUGUGUGAAGAAGGCCUCGG